rnacentral:rRNA from 1 species
CGGCGGACGGGUGAGUAACACGUGGAUAACCUACCUAUAAGACUGGGAUAACUUCGGGAAACCGGAGCUAAUACCGGAUAAUAUUUUGAACCGCAUGGUUCAAAAGUGGAAGACGGUCUUGCUGUCACUUAUAGAUGGAUCCGCGCUGCAUUAGCUAGUUGGUAAGGUAACGGCUUACCAAGGCAACGAUGCAUAGCCGACCUGAGAGGGUGAUCGGCCACACUGGAACUGAGACACGGUCCAG